ensembl:lncRNA
AAAUAUACUAAAUAGCACUAACACUGAAAUUUAUUUUAAGUGUAAUUAGAUAGUUAACCUAAAUUAAUUUAGUUUACAAUAUAUUAGCAAUAGGUUAAAUUAAUUGUGCUACUUAAGUAUACUUAAAUACACUAAAUAUUAAAUUGAUAUAGUACACAUAUUCAGAAGUGUUUUUGCAUUGAAAAAAAGCAUGCAGCGAUCACAGCGAUUAACAGAUGGAUUUUCAUAACUUGUAGGUGCUUAUGCUAUACUAUAAAUGCACUACUAUCACAUUAAGUAUGUUACUUAAAAGUGUACUUUUGCUAUACAAAAUUGCAAUAUGAUUGUUUUCCACAUUUAUUGUCAAUAAAAAGAAAACAGAUAUUUAAAUAGUUUCAUAAUUUCACAGUAACCAAAAAUAAUUCACUUAACACUGUCUGUGAGUUAAUAUUUAGAACAGGCAUGACAACUGUAUUUUUCUGACUGUUUGCUUUGUAUUGCAUAACAUUUUAUGACAACUUGCAAGCUUGGAGGAUAAGCGAAUAGAAUAGACUUUUUGUGCGCCAUCAUUGCAUAUCUGGUUGAUUACGAUUCUCAAAUAUAUUUUAUGCUUUUAAAAAAAACUGACACACAUCACCAUUGAAUAGUUUGUGACACUCUGAGCGGGCUUUAUCCUCAAAUCAAAAGUUUUUAUUUUAUUUUUUAAAUAAGUCGUAGCCAAUCAGACGUCUAUAACAAUUUCGGCCAAUCACAAUUGGGCCACAGUCUGUUACACUGGCGCGAAAUGUAUGAGAAGAUGGCGAACGUCAAGGCAGCAGGAGCUAACGUUAGCGCUCCACCAAGAAAAAAAAAACACUUUAGAAAGUUCUGAUGACGAAACAGACAUUGAGAUGAAGCGACAAUAUGAAAAAGCAAAAAGACAAAAAAAAGUUGCAAAAGAGAGGAUCCUCACUCAGUUGAAGGAUACACUGAGGAAACCACUCCACUCCACUCCAUGCAGAACCAAUCCAUUACAUAGUGAGGAGGAAGUUGAAUCCGAAAUGGUGGACACAAAUGUGGAUUUGUUCAAUUACCCAGGGAAUUCUCAAUCAACCAGACAAAAAAAGGUUGGAAAGGAGAGGGUCCUCACUCAGCUGAAGGAUACACUGAGAAAACCACUCCACUCUGAUCCACGCAGAACCAACCCGUUACAUAGUGAGGAGGAAGUUCAAGCCGAAACCGUGGACACAAAUGUGGAUUUGUUCGAUUACCCAGAGAAUUUUCAACCAACCGUAUGUCAUUUCAGACAAUACACCACAUUUGGACUGUGUUAUAGUUAUUGUAAUGUAUUUUUAAUCAUAUUCUUUCAGGUUCUCCAAAGCGUUUUUUUUGCAAGUAGAACAUUAGCAUGCAAAUCAUUUUUAUUUGAAAUUGUAUUUAUUGUUUUAAAUAUAGGAUACCUUAGAUGCUGCUGA